UGGCGUUUAAAUUAUUCAAUUUUUAUUUAGAAAUCAUACGAAAUUUAAAAGCCAUUUAAACGCCAAAAUAAAAAUAACUGGUGUCAGAGAAUUCGGCUCAUUCGGGUCAUGCACAUCAUGUUUCACGACAUAACAAUUUAUAAUCGUCUCAUCUCAACUAAAACUCUUAUAUGUAUAUAUAUAUUAAUAUAACCAGCAGCAGUUCAGCUGGCCCAAGAUACAAGAGGACCAUAAAUUUUAAAUAUGGUUUUUCUUGAAAAAUUUCGAAAAUGUUGCUCAGAAAAAUAUACCAGGUUGGAUAUCGUCCCACCCACUUUCUCUUCGCCACUUUUCCUCCGCGCUAUAUCCACCCCAUUUUUCGCCAUGCGGACCAAGUCGCUCUUCAGGAGGCGAAUGACUUCGAGCGCCACAUUUUCCUCCCAGUCCGCCCGGCGAAUAGUAGUCAAACCUCGUCCACUUUUUACGACCAAAGUAUUCGUCGCCAAAUUUACUAACCACAUUAUGUGAAAAGGGAACAAAAUCUUGGCCAGGGGACUGCUCGAAAAUGGCAAAGUAAUCAAGCGAAAGCAGGAUCUCCACCGAGUUUGUGAAGCUAACCGAGCCUACGCACAUUAUCGAUGGGAUUAAAAACAACGAUGUUAAUUGUGUAGUUUUAAUAGUAAUAAUUAAGUUUAUAAUAAUUAGUUUAUAUAACACACGUGAUCUAAAUAAUGUUAUCUUGUCAUUUAAAAUAAUUCACACCGUAAACUGUGUAAAGAUGUGUUCACUCUUUCUUGCUAACCUACGCCAUAGUUAAACUAUAGCAUUGGCGCAAGUUGCUAAAAUCAUGUUAAAAUUUGUGAAAUUGUUUUUUCAUAGAAUGAGACUACUAAUAAGUUUGUAGUGAAUUCCGUUUUCCUUCGUAAUCUUUGCAAAUUUGAAAGUUUGAAGGUUUGCAAGUUUACUAAUUUUGCAGAGUUUACAGUUUGCCUACAGUUUACUUAAUAAUUAUGUACUUGUUUAGUAUGACUAAAAUUGGGAUAAUCAUUACGUAAUUUUUAUAGAUUAUACAGAUAUUUCUAUUCGAAAUAAAAUCUCGUAAUUUAUAAUAAAUACAUACGUUUACGGUAAA